CCAAUAGCGUAUAUUAAAGUUGUUGCAGUUAAAAAGCUCGUAGUUGAAUUUCGGGAUCAAUAUAUCGGUCGUGCCUUUGGUACGUACUGGCAUCAUUGGUUUCUCCUUUCUGACGAACCAUGAUGUCAUUAAUUUGGUGUUAUGGGAAGUUAGGACUGUUACUUUGAAAAAAUUAGAGUGUUUAAAGCAGGCUUUAGCUUGAAUACAUUAGCAUGGAAUAAUGAAAUAGGACGUUCGAACCUAUUUUGUUGGUUUCUAGGAUCAACGUAAUGAUUAAUAGGGAUAGUUGGGGGCAUUAGUAUUCAAUUGUCAGAGGUGAAAUUCUUGGAUUUAUUGAAGACUAACUACUGCGAAAGCAUUUGCCAAGGAUGUUUUCAUUAAUCAAGAACGAAAGUUAGGGGAUCGAAGACGAUCAGAUACCGUCGUAGUCUUAACCAUAGACUAUGCCGACUAGGGAUCGGAUGAUGUUAAUUUUUUAAUGACUCAUUCGGCGCCUUACGG
rnacentral:rRNA from 1 species